AAAUGCUUCUCUCUCUCAGUUCUUUCUCAGUCUCCAUUCUUAUUUUUUCUCUGUUAUUUUCCUAUUUUUCAGAUCUCUUUCACUUUUUAUCUUCUUCUUCCUAAUAAUCUUGUAGGCGGCUUCAAUUAAGCAUCGGUGCAGCGACGAAGUGCAACGGAGGAGAGGAGCAGAGGUGCGGCAACGGAGCAGAGCAGAGGAGCAGAUGUUCGACGGCAAGGCGAGAUGAGGCAAAGCAAGCUGGGUGCGGCGACGAAGUGUAGCGAGGCUUCAUCGUUGUUGGGUCCACCUUCGUCACCUCUAAGAUAUGAAAAAAAUGCUCAUUGUCAAUGUCUUUCUUGAAUCUUUUAUUUGUUGAAGUAUGAUAAUGUGCUUAUGAAAUCUGGUAUUUUGUAUUUGAAUUUGUAGUGCUAUUAUAUUUUGAGAAAUAAAGAACAUUUAGUGAUUCUUUCGUUUUGAUUCAAUUAGAAUAACGAUCUAUUUUUGUGUAUUUGAUUUAUGGGUUUUUCUGGGCAACAAACAGACAAAUGAUUACUGAUAUUUCAAAAAAAAAAUUAUAUAAUUUUUAUUAUUUAUUAUAAUCAGUAUUAAUAUGAAGGGUAUGGGUUGCGUAUAAGGGGUUCAAGAUUGAGUUUCUUUUUGGUAUUUUUAUUUUUGGUUGAACAAAAAAUGUGUUACUUAUAUCUCUGUGAUUUCUCUUACUUCAAACUUUGUGCUUUAAUCUUGCAAGAUUGAACUUUAUGUAUUGCUAAACUAGGAGACAUACUUAAACAUUAUACAUGGAUUUGCUAAAGGAAUUGUUUAUCUUCACCAUGAUUGAGGUUUAAUGAUUAUAAAUAGAGAUUUUAAAAAUAGUAACAUACUACUUACUAGAUGAAGAGAUGAAUUUGAAAUUUCUGAUUUUGGCUUGGCAAUGAUUAUUGGAGGCAAGCAAAUUAAUGCAAGAACGUACAGAAUAAUAGGAACAUAGUAAGUAGUAAUAACAUUGCUUUUGGAGUGAACUAAAUUUACCCUUCAUUCAUCUAUUUCUCUUUACUUUUAGAGUUUUAUUUAAAAAUUUACUUUAAAACGGCCAGGUUUGUCAAGUUAAUGAGAUGUGAAAUUUGAGUAGUGUCACUACUAAGAUAUAGAGAAUAAUUUGGAUGGGGUUGUGACACUUGGCUUAAUUAUCUGGUCAUUUUUUCUGUAUUUGCUAUGGUUAAUAUUCAGUGAUUGUUUUGUAGAAGGACCAGUGGCCCCGAAGAUCAACAACAGGAAAAUGGACAGGUAAAUACAAUCUUCUUUGGCUACAAGUUUCAAUUUAGCUUUGGAUUGAGCAUUAAGUCAGUGUGGUGGGAAGAAUACAUAUACACUUGGCGAAAUUAAUGAAACUCGAAAUGAAUGGGCGGCCAAGCUUCUUGAGCGGAUGAGUCAUAGCUAGAGUAAUUUUUGAAAUCAGAAUUAAAUUAUACCAAUUUUAGUUUUUAGUUAGCACUUACAUAGUUAUUGCAAGUGUAUAUUUUGAUCUUGCAAUUUUUAGAUUUGGAACAUACUAAGUUCUAUUGAUUUUGUCUGCCUGUUGAUUUUGUCUGAACUAUGUUGUAAUUACACAGGAAAUUAUGAAUGAAUAUAGUGAUAGAAAAUAGAGAAAUGAA